rnacentral:misc_RNA from 1 species
GAUGAAGAACGUAGCGAAAUGCGAUAAGUAAUGUGAAUUGCAGAAUUCAGUGAAUCAUCGAGUCUUUGAACGCACAUUGCGCCCCCUGGUAUUCCGGGGGGCAUGCCUGUCCGAGCGUCAUUGCUGCCCUCAAGCACGGCUUGUGUGUUGGGCCUCCGUCCUCCUCCCGGGGGACGGGCCCGAAAGGCAGCGGCGGCACCGCGUCCGGUCCUCGAGCGUAUGGGGCUUCGUCACCCGCUCUUGUAGGCCCGGCCGGCGCUUGCCGACACAUCAAUCUUUUUUCCAGGUUGACCUCGGAUCAGGUAGGGAUACCCGCUGAACUUAAGUAUAUCAAUAAGCGGAGGA